rnacentral:rRNA from 1 species
GAUGAACGCUAGCGAUAGGCUUAACACAUGCAAGUCGAGGGACCGGCGCACGGGUGCGUAUCGCGUAUGCAACUUGCCUCACAGAGGGGGAUAACCCGUCGAAAUACGGACUUAUACCGCAUACUGUGAGCUAGGCAUGCGUCCCAUGAGCUAGUUGGUGAGGUAACGGCUCACCAAGGCAACGAUGGGUAGGGGAACUGAGAGGGUGAACCCCAGACUGGUACUGAGACACGGACCAGACGCCUACCGGAGGCAGCAGUGAGGAAUAUUGGUCAAUAGGCGCGGGCCUGAACCAGCCGAGUCGCGUGAAGGAUGGCGGUCUAUGGAGUGUAAACUUCUUUUGGAGGAGAAUAUGUACCCUACGAAUAAGCAUCGGCUAACUCCGUGCCAGCAGCCGCGGUAAUUC